UGAGGAACAUGACCUUCGGCGGGGGAUAGCCGGCCCAACGGCCGGGUAAUACCGCGUACGACCACAUGGGGACAUCCCCGAGUGGUGAAAGCAGCAAUGCGCCGAUGGAGUGCCUCGCGGCCUAUCAGCUAGUUGGUGAGGUAACGGCUCACCAAGGCGACGGACGGGUAGCUGGUCUGAGAGGAUGGCCAGCCACAUUGGGACUGAGACACGGCCCAGACCUCCCGUAAGGGGACGG
rnacentral:rRNA from 1 species